rnacentral:rRNA from 1 species
CCUACGGGAGGCAGCAGUGGGGAAUAUUGCACAAUGGGCGCAAGCCUGAUGCAGCAACGCCGCGUGGGGGACGACGGCCUUCGGGUUGUAAACCUCUUUUAGUAGGGAAGAAGCGAAAGUGACGGUACCUGCAGAAAAAGCACCGGCUAACUACGUGCCAGCAGCCGCGGUAAU